rnacentral:rRNA from 1 species
CCCUUAGAUGUUCUGGGCCGCACGCGCGCUACACUGAUGCAUUCAACGAGUCUAAAACCUGCUCUGAUAGGGGUGGGUAAUCUUUUGAAUGUGCAUCGUGAUUGGGAUAGAUGAUUGCAAUUUUUCAUCUUCAACGAGGAAUGCCUAGUAAACGCAAGUCAUCAGCUUGCAUUGAUUACGUCCCUGCCCUUUGUACACACCGCCCGUCGCUCCUAUCGAUUGAAUGAUCCGAUGAAUAUCAUGGAUUGAGGAUUAUAGCAGGUUCGCCUGUCUUGAUCUUCGAGAAGUGAAGUAAAUCUUAACAUUUAGAGGAAGGAGAAGUCGUAACA